rnacentral:tRNA from 1 species
UUAUUGGGUCUGUAGCUUAAUGGUGGAGCGCCGCUCAAGUAAAGCGGAGGCCGGGGGUUCGAUCCCCCUCAG